rnacentral:rRNA from 1 species
CACCUCCAGCAUAGCAAUUAUUGGAGGCACUGCCUGCCCAGUGACUUCCGUUAAACGGCCGCGGUAUCCUGACCGUGCAAAGGUAGCAUAAUCAUUUGUUCUCUAAAUAAGGACUUGUAUGAAUGGCCACACGAGGGUUUUACUGUCUCUUACUUCCAAUCAGUGAAAUUGACCUUCCCGUGAAGAGGCGGGAAUUCACAAAUAAGACGAGAAGACCCUAUGGAGCUUUAAUUAAUUGACCCACAGAAUAACACCUCACAUUUCUAAGGAAAACAAAUUAGCCUUCUGCUGGAUCAACAAUUUCGGUUGGGGUGACCUCGGAAAACAAAAUAACUUCCGAGUGAUUUCAACUAAGACUGACGAGUCAAAGUCCACAAUCACUUAGUGAUCCAAAAAUUCUUUUGAUCAACGGAACAAGUUACCCUAGGGAUAACAGCGCAAUCCUAUUCGAGAGUCCAUAUCGAUAAUAGGGUUUACGACCUCGAUGUUGGAUCAGGACAUCCCAAUGGUGCACCCGCUAUUAAUGGGUCCGUUUGUUCAACGAUUUAAGUCCU